rnacentral:lncRNA from 10 species
GCCACCGCACCUAGCCCCCCUCUUCCUUUUGUUAAAAAAGUUGUUUUAUCAGAAUGUGUAUAUCCCUAUUUGGUUUUUCCUGCCUUGAGCUUUAUAACAAUGAAAUAAUUAUGUAUAUCAUCUGCUAUUUGUUUAUAAAAAUUCAACAUUAUGUUACUCGGAGUUGUUUAUGUUGAUUUGUGUAGUUCAUUUAUUUUCACUACAAAUAAGUUGUGUGAAUGUAACAAAUUUUUUUUAUCCAUACACCUGUUGAUGAACUUAUGGUGGAUUCAUAUUUUUUGUAAAUUUUUGAGAAGUCUCAGCUGUUAUCUCUGCAAAUUGCCUCUCAUCCAUUCUCUCUUUUUCUAGGAUUCCAAUUAGAUAUGUGAUGUAGUCUCAUUCUAUCCAUAUUUAAAAUCUUUCAUUCAUAUUUUUCUCUUCUGCAUUUUAGAUAAUUUCUUGUGAUCUAUCCUUGCACUCACUAAUUGUCACUUUAGCUUUAUCUAAUAUGCUAUAAAACAUGAUAUUUGGGUUUUUAACUACAAAAUUAUAUUUUUUUAUUUCUAAAAUUUCAAUUUGCCCCCUUUCAAAUCUAUGCUCAUUUUUUAUUACUCCCCUGCAAUUUUAUAAUUACAUCUUCUAUUUUCUUAAACAUUUUAUUUGUAGAAAUUUCAGAUUUUGAUUUUCAUAAUGUCAAUAUCUGAAAUAUUUUGAAAUAAAUUUAUCUGUUUUUCCUUAGCAUGAGUUUAACUAGCACUUCCAGUCUGAUGUUUAGUAAGACUAGUGAGAGAAGACAUACUCGUUUUGUUCCUAUCUUUGGAAGAAGACAACUAAUUUCUUACCACUGUGCUGUUAGCCAUAGUUUUUUUGUGUGCAUCUGUCUAUGUUCCUUAUCAAGUUGAGGAA